rnacentral:rRNA from 2 species
AUGGACGAAAGUCUGAUGGAGCAACGCCGCGUGAGUGAAGAAGGGUUUCGGCUCGUAAAACUCUGUUGUUAAAGAAGAACAUAUCUGAGAGUAACUGUUCAGGUAUUGACGGUAUUUAACCAGAAAGCCACGGCUAACUACGUGCCAGCAGCCGCGGUAAUACGUAGGUGGCAAGCGUUGUCCGGAUUUAUUGGGCGUAAAGCGAGCGCAGGCGGUUUUUUAAGUCUGAUGUGAAAGCCUUCGGCUCAACCGAAGAAGUGCAUCGGAAACUGGGAAACUUGAGUGCAGAAGAGGACAGUGGAACUCCAUGUGUAGCGGUGAAAUGCGUAGAUAUAUGGAAGAACACCAGUGGCGAAGGCGGCUGUCUGGUCUGUAACUGACGCUGAGGCUCGAAAGUAUGGGUAGCAAACAGGAUUAGAUACCCUGGUAGUCCAUACCGUAAACGAUGAAUGCUAAGUGUUGGAGGGUUUCCGCCCUUCAGUGCUGCAGCUAACGCAUUAAGCAUUCCGCCUGGGGAGUACGGCCGCAAGGCUGAAACUCAAAGGAAUUGACGGGGGCCCGCACAAGCGGUGGAGCAUGUGGUUUAAUUCGAAGCUACGCGAAGAACCUUACCACGUCUUGACA